GUUAACCUGGGAUGUGCGACAACCCUGUAAUUUUGAACCUACAUUUGUUUAAACGGGAUUCCUAUAUUUCUGCGCAAUAUGUCAGGCCUCCGAUAUGCAGUGGACGACAGAAAAGCAGAUGCGGUUGCCCACCUGGCUGCGGCUAGGACUCAAAAUACAGGACCGGCAUUUUGGGUGAACU
rnacentral:other from 1 species